rnacentral:rRNA from 1 species
GACGAACGCUGGCGGCGUGCCUAAUACAUGCAAGUAGAACGCUGAAGGAGGAGCUUGCUCUUCUGGAUGAGUUGCGAACGGGUGAGUAACGCGUAGGUAACCUGCCUGGUAGCGUGGGAUAACUAUUGGAAACGAUAGCUAAUACCGCAUAACAGUAGAUGUUGCAUGACAUUUACUUAAAAGGUGCAAUUGCAUCACUACCAGAUGGACCUUCGUUGUAUUUGCUUGUUGGUGGGGUAACGGCUCACCAAGGCGACGAUACAUAGACGACCUGUGAGGGUGGUCGGGCAAACUGGGAGGGAGAAAGGGCACAGAAGCAUACGGGAGGGAGCAGGAGGGAAACGUGGGAAAGGGACGGAAGACAGACCGAAAAAAGACGAGGGAGUGAAGAAGGGUUUCGGAUCGUAAAGCUCUGUUGUAAGAGAAGAAAGAGUGUGAGAGUGGAAAGUUCACACUGUGACGGUAUCUUAACAGAAAGGGACGGCUAACUACGUG